CUCUCCUCACUGUUGGCGGCGGCCAAAGAGCAGCUGAGGCGCAGAAACCAAAAUCUCCGUGUAGGCCUCCACCCAGAUCCGCUCCUCUCCUUCCUAGUUGUUGUGCUUGGCGCUGGGCCCUGUUGCUCAUGAAGGUCUCACGUGUAGUCGGAUGGUCAGCGGCCGGGUACGCCGCGGGUUGGUCGACAGCAGCACCAGCGCUGGCGUUCAAGUCGUCGGACGGCUAGAGCGGCCACACCAUGGCCAAAGAGUACUUGUUAGGCUCAAUUGAACUCUAAAUUGGUUUAACUGGACUGUGGUGCAUGCCGUAUUAUUGUUUUUCUUCUAUGUUGAUGCCUGUAUCAUCUUGUUUUAAACAACCUCUCUUAAGAUAUCAGUUGGUAUGUUUUGUCAAAAUUUCGGUUCAAAUUC